UACGAAGGGGGCUAGCGUUGUUCGGAAUUACUGGGCGUAAAGGGCGUGUAGGCGGCCCGUUAAGACAGGUGUGAAAUUCCUGGGCUCAACCCAGGACGUGCGCCUGUGACUGGCGGGCUUGAGUCCGGGAGAGGAUGGUGGAACUCCCAGUGUAGAGGUGAAAUUCGUAGAUAUUCGGAAGAACACCAGUGGCGAAGGCGACUUACUGGACGAUUGUUGACGCUGAGGUGCGAAAGCGUGGGGAGCAAACAGG
rnacentral:rRNA from 1 species